CCUACGGGUGGCAGCAGUGAGGAAUAUUGGGCAAUGCCCGAAAGGGUGACCCAGCAACGCCGCGUGGAGGAUGAAGUCCUUCUGGACGUAAACUCCUUUUAGAGGGGACGAAAAGCCCGAUUUGUCGGGAAUUGACGGUACCCUCAGAAAAAGCACCGGCUAACUACGUGCCAGCAGCCGCGGUAAUACGUAGGGUGCAAGCGUUGUCCGGAUUCACUGGGUGUAAAGGGUGCGCAGGCGGGCUCUUAAGUCAAAGGUAAAAUCUCUCGGCUUAACCGAGAAAUUGCCUUUGAUACUGAGAGCCUUGAGUACGGGAGAGGGAGAUGAAAUUCCAGGUGUAGCGGUAAAAUGCGUAGAGAUCUUGAAGAACACCGGUUGCGAAGGCGAUCAUCUGGCUCGUUACUGACGCUCAGGGACGAAAGCGUGGGGAGCAAACAG
rnacentral:rRNA from 1 species